rnacentral:rRNA from 1 species
GAUGAACGCUGGCGGCGUGCCUAAUACAUGCAAGUCGAGCGAAUGGAUUAAGAGCUUGCUCUUAUGAAGUUAGCGGCGGACGGGUGGGUAACACGUGGGUAACCUGCCCAUAAGACUGGGAUAACUCCGGGAAACCGGAGCUAAUACCGGAUAACAUUUUGAACCGCAUGGUUCGAUAUUGAAAGGCGGCUUCGGCUGUCACUUAUGGAUGGACCCGCGUCGCAUUAGCUAGUUGGUGAGGUAACGGCUCACCAAGGCAACGAUGCGUAGCCGACCUGAGAGGGUGAUCGGCCACACUGGGACUGAGACACGGCCCAGACUCCUACGGGAGGCAGCAGUAGGGAAUCUUCCGCAAUGGACGAAAGUCUGACGGAGCAACGCCGCGUGAGUGAUGAAGGCUUUCGGGUCGUAAAACUCUGUUGUUAGGGAAGAACAAGUGCUAGUUGAAUAAGCUGGCACCUUGACGGUACCUAACCAGAAAGCCACGGCUAACUACGUGCCAGCCGCCGCAGUAA